UACGUAGGGGGCAAGCGUUGUCCGGAAUCAUUGGGCGUAAAGCGCGUGUAGGCGGCUUGGUAAGUCCGCUCUGAAAGCCCGGGGCUCAACUCCGGGAGGCGGGUGGAUACUGUCAAGCUCGAGUCCGGAAGAGGCGAAUGGAAUUCCUGGUGUAGCGGUGAAAUGCGCAGAUAUCAGGAGGAACACCAAUGGCGAAGGCAGCUCGCUGGGACGUGACUGACGCUGAGACGCGAAAGCGUGGGGAGCAAACGGG
rnacentral:rRNA from 1 species